rnacentral:lncRNA from 1 species
AUCUCUUGGCUUCUCCGGUUUUUGUAGGUCUUUCAUGUCGAACUGAUGAGCAUGCAUAUUUACUAAAAGUGCAUACACAACUUUACUGACAAGUUCUCUGGUAAGUAGAUGAUUUGUUGCGGCUUUUCAAAUAAUUUUUUUUACCUUUCAAAUAAUUAACUUUGAUCUAUGUUUUGCGUUAAUCAGAGGAUACAAAGCUAAAAACUCAUAUGCAUCGAUCGUUUAGAGACGUGCGUGGGUUUUGUCCAACCCAUAGUUGGACAACAGGACAAUGAUCUUGCAAGUUUCGAGUUCAAGGAUUCGAUGAUUCGCUGCA